rnacentral:rRNA from 1 species
UCGGGAAUUUUGGGCAAUGGGCGAAAGCCUGAUCCAGCCAUGCCGCGUGUGUGAAGAAGGUCUUCGGAUUGUAAAGCACUUUAAGUUGGGAGGAAGGGCCAUUACCUAAUACGUGAUGGUUUUGACGUUACCGACAGAAUAAGCACCGGCUAACUCUGUGCCAGCAGCCGCGGUAAUACAGAGGGUGCAAGCGUUAAUCGGAAUUACUGGGCGUAAAGCGCGCGUAGGUGGUUUGUUAAGUUGGAUGUGAAAUCCCCGGGCUCAACCUGGGAACUGCAUUCAAAACUGACAAGCUAGAGUAUGGUAGAGGGUGGUGGAAUUUCCUGUGUAGCGGUGAAAUGCGUAGAUAUAGGAAGGAACACCAGUGGCGAAGGCGACCACCUGGACUGAUACUGACACUGAGGUGCGAAAGCGUGGGGAGCAAACAGGAUUAGAUACCCCCGUAGUCCCUGAGCGGGCUGGCAAGGCGCAU